ACUUUCCUUGUCAUGAGGACUGUUUAAUGAACACAUAAUGAAAACAGGCCAGCUGACACCAUAUCAACACAAUCACAUCACCUGAUUUCUUCAAGUCGGCAAACGGUGCAUAUUAUGAAAAC
rnacentral:ncRNA from 1 species